ensembl:lncRNA
GACGUCACUCAGCUGCGUUGCGACGGCGACGGCGCGCCCUCAUUCAUGGCACGGCGUACAGCCGUCCGCGUGACGACGGCGCACGCGUGGCUGUGUAUCCAUAACAGCCGCGCUUCAGCGCGGCUGUCCCCUUUGGAUGCUGCCAUGGCGCGUCGUCCCACGCUGUGACGUCAUCGCCUUGCGCCCGGGUGAGGCGGCGGCCUCGAGGUUGUCCUGCUGUGCUCCGCAGUGCUCCAACGCCGCGGGGCGGCUCCGGGCGCCGCCUCAGCUUCUACAGGAGAGACGUUGUGGGUGAGACAGAGGGAACAUCAAAUGAGAAACUGGGAAGAGAUAUGAAGUAGCGGGACCAGUUUUUCUAAAGCGAGUUGCCGUCUGGGAUGCGGUGGCCGUCUACGUCCAGGAGCAGCUCCUGCUACGCAAGGGGGUCCGAAUUCCCACCUUCGGUUCCUUCACCAUCGUCUCCGAACGGAUUGAGGCUGAGGAUGGAACCAUGACUCUGCAGUGGCCUGCGUUUUGCCUGGCCAGGAACCUUGCGGGCAUCCACAACCUGAUGGAGAGCUACCCACCAGGCCAUAAGGAGGUGCAGCCCCUCAAGUACACUGAGGUGGCCGCGGCCGCAUCUGUGACCUGGCAGACUGGGAAGGCCUGCAUAUUUGGCACCACGUCCCUCGUUUCCCACUGCCUGAGGAAGGGGGAGAACAUUGCCUUUGUCCUGAAGGACAUAGGAGUGCUCCUCAUCGAGGGAACGAGAGUUCAGAUGAAGUUCUACUACGACUUCCUCGAGAGGAUCAGCGGGAAAGAGAACCUAGAGAAAGUUGUUUUCAAGGUGCCCCGGCUGCGGGACAUGGUGGUGUCCCGGGUGGCAGCUGUAGCCUCCCUGACGUCCUGUGGCCAAGUCAUCGUCUUUCCCAGGUUUCGACGGGAGUUUGUACCCAAACCACCACCCAGGACAGCCCGCAAGGCCUGCCAUGUCCCAUUGCCACCUCUUGACCAGGCCAAGAAAGAGGAACUUCCUGAAUUGCCACCCCUCCCCAGCUGGAUCCGCGUUACCUUUCUAGUGGAAAAACAGCCUGAGAAGGAAACAAGCGAUGUCAAGAAGAAGGCCAGUCAGCUGCCAGCGGUCCCGGGGGCGUCUUCUGCCAAAAAGCAGCCUCAGAAAAAAAAGAAGGGAAAAUGCUCUACCAAAAGCAAGGCGGCAGAGAUGGCUCCAGCAGAGGCAGCGCAACCUCCAAGUGGCAAAGAAGAAGAACACGGCGCGGUGAAAGCCCCCGCUGGAGGAGGAGUGCCGCAAAAGGCACAGGCCAAGCUCAGAAAGCACCGUGGAGCCCCAGCCCUGCAACAAACACCACUGGCAGCCCUAUGGUCCUCGAGCUCUGAGACCAGCCUGCCCGAGGAGCGCACCUACAGCGCCUCUGCUGCGGUGCCACUGAUGCACAGGAGGACCAGAUCUCUGCAGAGUCAGCCACCAAAGACCAAAGCGGGGCUCCCCAGGCGGGGGAUGUCCUGUCCACGCUGACCAGGGCAUGGGGUGCCCAGGAGAAGCAGAGCUCCACCUGAGGCUGCCAAACAGGUGCGCGAUUCCUCUCUGGGCCAUUCCUGGGGGCCUGUCUGCACCCUUCUUUGGUUUUGGCUCCAAGUUUGCUUUUGGAGGCACUUCUUGCCAUAAGACUCUGACUUAGCUAGGAGAUGACAGGUGGGUGUGGCAAUCAGCAUCACUUGGUGGACAAUUUUACAUUUGAAAGCAUUUCUUUGCAGCUGUUUGCCUUUGGCAGAGAGUGCUGAGGAGUGGUUACUUGAGGAAGGUGUGGGCUGUGACCAAAAACUCCAGCUUGGUAUAGGAGAACUGAGGGAACAACGCCAUCGUAUCCUGCAAAAACCAGGAUGCAGGUGGGCACCUCCCUGCUCCCUCCUAUCUGCUGGCAAGGCGCGGGAGAUGGGGACAAAGGAGUUUCUGCUGAGACCCCAAAGCCACAAGCCGCCACUCCAAAGAGAGCUGACCGUUGUCGUCAACUGAACAACGACCCCUGAUGACCCAUCACUACUGUAGAUCGACGUCUGAGCUACGAACCACGCUGGACCUGUGGUGGUGACUGUCUCUCUCUUGCUUCCUACAAAGACUGCUUGCUUUUAUUUGCUAUCUUUUCUAUCGCCCG